rnacentral:tRNA from 1 species
UAUGGCAGAUUAGUGCAAAGAAUUUAAAAUUCUUAUAUAAAG